rnacentral:lncRNA from 1 species
GUUAAAGGAAAAAAAAUUAAAAUUUCUGUUAGUAGUUUAAAGUUAUUGCUCAUUAACAAAAAACAAAAAACAUUGGGGUAAGCAAAACCUAAGUAGAUUCAGAUAAAAUUUGUUAUGGAAAAGGGUCACUGGUCUUAAAGUUGAAUAACAUUUUCAAAGGAAAAAAUAAACAGGCAGCAUUUAGCAGUGAUAAAAAACAUGAGUGUGAGUGGUGGUUUUGCAGUACAGAAAGUGCUAAAGUAACCGACGAGGAAGAUGACUAAGGCCUGGAUCAGGCAUUUGCCUGCAGAGAUAAAGAAUAAAUGAAGAUCUUUGAUCUUUAAUAAAAAUAUAUAUAUCUUGUGUAUAGAGAAACUUCCAAUCACCUUGAGAAUGACACUUUCUGUAUAAUACUAAAUUCCAUUUUAACUCUGAAAUCUCAAAUUCCAUGUAAAAUGAGUUGUUGCCAGGUUAUUUAAUCUGCACUGAACUGACCUUUACCUUCUUUUAUUAGGAAUUACAGAUUCUUUCUUAAUAGCUAAUAUGCCAACCUACUGAAUUCAUCACUUAUGCGAAAUAAGUGCAAUUUAAGCAUUUAAGGAGAACAAUACUCGCCAAGUGCUGAUAAGAGAUUAAAGCAUUUACCCAAAAGUAAUGUCAGCAGAAAUGAAAUGUCUUGACUGAGGUGACAAACGUCUGCAGUGGAGUAAGAAUUACUUAAGACACUCACCUUGCACAACUCUGCGAACUCCGAGACAAAGUUGGAUAGCUUAUAGAAUGAGUUGGGAUAAUUUGCCCUUCUUUUAAAUAUGUUAUGGACUGAAUGUUUGUGUCCCCGUGAAAUUCGUAUGUUGAAGUCCCAACCCCCAGUGUGGCUGUAUAUGGAGAUGGAGUCUCUGAGGAAGUAAUUGAGGUGAGAGAGGUCAUAAGGGUGCGGCCUUGAUCUGAUAGGGUUAGUGUCCGUAUAAGAAAGAAUACCAGAUGACCAGCCCUCUUUCUCUCUUUCUCUCUGUCCACAGGCACCUGGGAAGGCCAUGUGAGGACACAGUGAGAAGGCCUUGUCUACAAGCCAGGAAGAGUGGCCUCACCAGAAACCGGGUCAGCCAGCACCUUAAUUGUGGACAUCCCAGCCUCUAUAACUGAGAAAAUACAUUUCUGCUGUUUAAGCAGCCUAGUCUACGGUAUUUGUUACGGCAGAUGGUGUCUGUCAUGGCAGUCUGAGCAGAUGAAGAUAAUGUGUUAUGGAAUAUUUUAG